rnacentral:rRNA from 1 species
GGCAUGCUUUACACAUGCAAGUCGAACGGCAGCACGGGCUUCGGCCUGGUGGCGAGUGGCGAACGGGUGAGUAAUGCGUCGGAACGCGCCGAGUAGUGGGGGAUAACGCAGCGAAAGCUGUGCUAAUACCGCAUACGUACUGAGGUAGAAAGUGGGGGACCUUCGGGCCUCACGCUAUUCGAGCGGCCGACGUCUGAUUAGCUAGUUGGUGGGGUAAAGGCUCACCAAGGCGACGAUCAGUAGCGGGUCUGAGAGGAUGAUCCGCCACACUGGGACUGAGACACGGCCCAGACUCCUACGGGAGGCAGCAGUGGGGAAUUUUGGACAAUGGGCGCAAGCCUGAUCCAGCCAUGCCGCGUGUCUGAAGAAGGCCUUCGGGUUGUAAAGGACUUUUGUCCGGGAGCAACGCCUACU